ACGCAGGAAAGGAGGUGGUCCAGAAGAUGAAGUCUUUGAGGACUGGCGAGGUGGCCGUCCGCUAGGACGAGCUCGCGUUCGCGCGGCGCUCGUCCGCAGCGAAUCCCAACGGACACCCGGAUCCCGGGCCGCCGGAAAUGGUCCGACCGGCCCCGCCCACACCGGCGGGAAGCGGCCCGGGAUCCGUCUUUG
rnacentral:sRNA from 1 species